rnacentral:rRNA from 1 species
AUUGAACGCUGGCGGCAGGCCUAACACAUGCAAGUCGAACGAGUGGCGGACGGGUGAGUAAUGUCUGGGAAACUGCCUGAUGGAGGGGGAUAACUACUGGAAACGGUCGCUAAUACCGCAUACCAUCGGAUGUGCCCAGAUGGGAUUAGCUAGUGGGUGGGGUAAAGGCUCACCUAGGCGACGAUCCCUAGCUGGUCUGAGAGGAUGACCAUCCACACUGGAACGGAAACACGGUCCAGACUCCUACGGGAGGAAGCAGGGGGAAAUAUUGGACAAUGGGGGCAAGCCGGAUGCAGCCAUGCCACGUGUAUGAAGAAGGCCUUCGGGUGUUAAAGUAUGUUCAGUCGGGAGGCGUUACCGAAAGAGGAAGCACCGGCUAACUCCGUGCCAGCAGCCGCGGUAAUAC